GGUGAACGCUGGCGGCGUGCCUAAUACAUGCAAGUCGAGCGAACGGACGAGAAGCUUGCUUCUCUGAUGUUAGCGGCGGACGGGUGAGUAACACGUGGAUAAUCUACCUAUAAGACUGGGAUAACUUCGGGAAACCGGAGCUAAUACCGGAUAAUAUUUUGAACCGCAUGGUUCAAAAGUGAAAGACGGUCUUGCUGUCACUUAUAGAUGGAUCCGCGCUGCAUUAGCUAGUUGGUAAGGUAACGGCUUACCAAGGCAACGAUGCAUAGCCGACCUGAGAGGGUGAUCGGCCACACUGGAACUGAGACACGGUCCAGACUCCUACGGGAGGCAGCAGUAGGGAAUCUUCCGCAAUGGGCGAAAGCCUGACGGAGCAACGCCGCGUGAGUGAUGAAGGUCUUCGGAUCGUAAAACUCUGUUAUUAGGGAAGAACAUAUGUGUAAGUAACUGUGCACAUCUUGACGGUACCUAAUCAGAAAGCCACGGCUAACUACGUG
rnacentral:rRNA from 1 species